GAUGAACGCUGGCGGCGUGCUUAACACAUGCAAGUCGAACGCUGAAGCUCAGAUUUUGUUGGGCGGAUGAGUGGCGAACGGGUGAGUAACACGUGAGUAACCUGCCCCCUUCUUUGGGAUAACGCCCGGAAACGGGUGCUAAUACUGGAUAUUCACUGGUCUUCGCAUGGGGGUUGGUGGAAAGGGCUUUUUUGGUGGGGGAUGGGCUCGCGGCCUAUCCGCUUGUUGGUGGGGUGAUGGUCUACCGAGGCGUUGACGGGUAGACGGCCUGAGAGGGUGAGCGGGCACAGAGGCACUGAGAUGCGGCCCAGGGGCGGACGCGGUGGAGAAGUGGGGACUAUGGCACAAUGCGCGCAGGCCUAAUGCAGCGACGCCGCGGAAGGGAUGGAGGCCUUCGAAUUGUGAACCUCGGGCGCUCAAGAUCAGGCCGUAACAAUGGUUGUGGUGAGGGUAGUUGAUAAAGAAGCGACGGCUAACUACGUG
rnacentral:rRNA from 1 species